rnacentral:rRNA from 1 species
CCUACGGGGGGCUGCAGUGGGGAAUAUUGGACAAUGGGGGCAACCCUGAUCCAGCCAUGCCGCGUGUGUGAAGAAGGCCCUCGGGUUGUAAAGCACUUUCAGUGAGGAAGAACGCCUGGUGGUUAAUACCCAUCAGGAAAGACAUCACUCACAGAAGAAGCACCGGCUAACUCCGUGCCAGCAGCCGCGGUAAUACGGAGGGUGCGAGCGUUAAUCGGAAUUACUGGGCGUAAAGCGCGCGUAGGUGGCUUGAUAAGCCGGUUGUGAAAGCCCCGGGCUCAACCUGGGAACGGCAUCCGGAACUGUCAAGCUAGAGUGCAGGAGAGGAAGGUAGAAUUCCCGGUGUAGCGGUGAUAUGCGUAGAGAUCGGGAGGAAUACCAGUGGCGAAGGCGGCCUUCUGGACUGACACUGACACUGAGGUGCGAAAGCGUGGGUAGCAAACAGGAUUAGAUACCCGGGUAGUC